rnacentral:rRNA from 1 species
GACAGAGGAGCCAAGCGUUAGGCGGAAUCACUGGGCUUAAAGCGUGUGUAGGCGGAUCGUUAAGUACCUUGUGAAAUCCCACGGCUCAACCGUGGAACUGCUGGGUAUACUGGCGAUCUUGAGCCACCUAGGGGCAACUGGAACAAGCGGUGGAGCGGUGAAAUGCGUAGAUAUCUGCAGGAACACCCGUGGCGAAAGCGGCGCGCUGGACCACUACUGACGCUGAGGAACGAAAGCUAGGGGAGCAAACAGG